rnacentral:rRNA from 1 species
UACGUAGGGUGCGAGCGUUAAUCGGAAUUACUGGGCGUAAAGCGUGCGCAGGCGGUUCUGUAAGUCUGUCGUGAAAUCCCCGGGCUUAACCUGGGAAUUGCGAUGGAGACUGCAAGGCUAGAAUCUGGCAGAGGGGGGUAGAAUUCCACGUGUAGCAGUGAAAUGCGUAGGGAUGUGGAGGAACACCGAUGGCGAAGGCAGCCCCCUGGGUCAAGAUUGACGCUCAUGCACGAAAGCGUGGGGAGCAAACAGG